GUAGGAUCUUAUUCAAAAUUAGAUAACCCUUUUGUUAAAGUCCAUGUUUUGUUAAACUCUUUUGUUAAACUCCAUGUACAGAUGUGGACUGCAUACCUUAGUAACUAAACUGUAGGCAUGAUAGGUUGUCUGGUAUUUUAACAGUCUGGGUUGUCAUAAUAAGUAGACUAUAGUUUAACAGGUGUAUAGGAUUACAGACUCUUUGUGUUUCAUAUUUCUGUUUGGUGUGCUGGCAAGAAAAGCCAAGCCAGCUCACUCUCACUUUUGAUUUCGGAGAAGAAGGUCCAAUUUGGGGGUUUCCUAACCAAGGAAAAGGGCGUGUGCCACCCUACCCAGUGCGGGGAGGUUCCUUUCUACUCGAUGCCGAAUUACGGCUGUCAACCUAGGGUCAGCCCAGAGUCAAUGUGGAGUCAAUGUAGGUCAGGGUAGCACCUACCCUCUAUGUCCAGGUCAUGAGUCAAAAUGUCAUUCGAGGGGAAUGACUCACUUCAGUCAGCCGAAGCUAUUGUUCGUCGGACUCGACCGUAAUUCUUCCAAGUUAGAGCUUCAACUCAACUCUUGUUCUUCGUUCUUCAAGGACACGUGUCUUCUUCGCUGAUGACGUCAGUCGUGUUCUUCGUCGUCGUCGUCGAUCAUCGGCAUACUUGUUCCUCGUCAUAAUCGUCCAAUCUUCGUAGUCGUCGUGGUUUGUCGAUCUCUUCUGUUUUCGAACUCCGCAUUUACCCGAUUGAAGGUUUGAUCAAGCAAU
rnacentral:lncRNA from 1 species